UACGUAGGUGGCAAGCGUUGUCCGGAUUUACUGGGCGUAAAGAGCGCGCAGGCGGUCGAUCAAGUCGCGUGUGAAAGCCCCCGGCUCAACUGGGGAGGGUCACGCGAUACUGAUCGACUCGAAGGCAGGAGAGGGUAGUGGAAUUCCCGGUGUAGUGGUGGAAAUGCGUAGAUAUCGGGAGGAACACCAGUGGCGAAGGCGACUACCUGGCCUGUUCUUGACGCUGAGGUGCGAAAGCGUGGGGAGCAAACAGG
rnacentral:rRNA from 1 species